GGUACUAUAGCUUAGCUGGAUAAAGCGUACGCCUCCGGAGCGUAAGAUCAUGAGUUCGAAUCUCAUUAGUACCGCCA
rnacentral:tRNA from 5 species